rnacentral:rRNA from 1 species
GUAGCUAAAUGCGGAAGAGAUAAGUGCUGAAAGCAUCUAAGCACGAAACUUGCCCCGAGAUGAGUUCUCCCUGAGACUUUAAGUCUCCUGAAGGAACGUUGAAGACGACGACGUUGAUAGGUCGGGUGUGUAAGCGCAGCGAUGCGUUGAGCUAACCGCUGGCGAAUGGACCAUGAUGCCGACUAUG